GUGAUAUGUACUAUAUGGAGGAAGAACAUGGCACAAAGUGUGAGCUUGAAGAGCUUAAGAAAACCACAGCAGAAUUCCUGAGGUUAAAAAGGGCAGCGGGGAGGAAAGUAGAGUUAUAUUGAUAAGAGGACAUGCAAAGAGCAUUAUUCAAAUCAGAGUCAGGAAAAGUGAUGUAGUUAACAUAUAUUCAGAGGCUAUUCUAGCACCAAGUUAAUUCCACACAAAACUUCCCUU
rnacentral:lncRNA from 1 species